rnacentral:rRNA from 1 species
GAUGAACGCUGGCGGCGUGCCUAAUACAUGCAAGUCGAGCGAACAGACGAGGAGCUUGCUCCUCUGACGUUAGCGGCGGACGGGUGAGUAACACGUGGAUAACCUACCUAUAAGACUGGGAUAACUUCGGGAAACCGGAGCUAAUACCGGAUAAUAUAUUGAACCGCAUGGUUCAAUAGUGAAAGACGGUUUUGCUGUCACUUAUAGAUGGAUCCGCGCCGCAUUAGCUAGUUGGUAAGGUAACGGCUUACCAAGGCAACGAUGCGUAGCCGACCUGAGAGGGUGAUCGGCCACACUGGAACUGAGACACGGUCCAGACUCCUACGGGAGGCAGCAGUAGGGAAUCUUCCGCAAUGGGCGAAAGCUUGACGGAGCAACGCCGCGUGAGUGAUGAAGGUCUUCGGAUCGUAAAACUCUAUUAUUAGGGAAGAACAAAUGUGUAAGUAACUAUGCACGUCUUGACGGUACCUAAUCAGAAAGCCACGGCGAACUACGU